AACGCACCUUGCGCCCCUUGGUUAUUCCUCGGGGCAUGCCUGUUUGAGUAUCAUGAACACCUCAACUCUCAUGGCCUCCAUGAUGAGCUUGGACUUUGGAGGUUUGCUGACCCUUGCUGCCGGCUCCUCUCAAAUGAAUCAGCUUGCCAGUGUUUGGUGGCAUCACGGGUGUGAUAACUAUCUACGCUUGUGGUCGUCUGCCAGGUAACCCUCAGCGAUGAAGGUUCAUUGGGGCUCACAAAUGUCUCUCCUCGGUGAGGACAACUUUUGAACGUUCGAUCUCAAAUCAGGUAGGAUUACCCGCUGAACUUAA
rnacentral:rRNA from 1 species